UUUUUUACAAGUUGGACCUCCGUACACAUUUCGACUUCGUGUCAAGUUUUAUUCUUCCGAACCAAAUAUUCUCCGAGAAGAACUUACAAGGUACUUGUUCUUCCUCCAGCUAAAGCAGGACAUUCUGUCGGGCAAAUUAACCUGUCCCUACCAGACCGCCGUUGAGUUGGCUGCCUAUG